CUUUAACCCUGAGGCGUGAUAACGAGCCACUACGGUGGUGAAGUAGCUGAUGCCCUGCUUCCAGGAAAAGCCUCUAAGCUCCAGGUAACACGAAAUCGUACCCCAAACCGACACAGGUGGUCAGGUAGAGAAUACUCAGGCGCUUGAGAGAACUCGGGUGAAGGAACUAGGCAAAAUGGUGCCGUAACUUCGGGAGAAGGCACGCUGGCGCGUAGGUGAAGAGACUUGCUCUCGGAGCCGAAGCCAGUCGCAGAUACCAGCUGGCUGCAACUGUUUAAUAAAAACACAGCACUGUGCAAACACGAAAGUGGACGUAUACGGUGUGACGCCUGCCCGGUGCCGGAAGGUUAAUUGAUGGGGUUAUCCGCAAGGAGAAGCUCUUGAUCGAAGCCCCGGUAAACGGCGGCCGUAACUAUAACGGUCCUAAGGUAGCGAAAUUCCUUGUCGGGUAAGUUCCGACCUGCACGAAUGGCGUAAUGAUGGCCAGGCUGUCUCCACCCGAGACUCAGUGAAAUUGAACUCGCUGUGAAGAUGCAGUGUACCCGCGGCAAGACGGAAAGACCCCGUGAACCUUUACUAUAGCUUGACACUGAACAUUGAGCCUUGAUGUGUAGGAUAGGUGGGAGGCUUUGAAGCGUGGACGCCAGUCUGCGUGGAGCCAUCCUUGAAAUACCACCCUUUAAUGUUUGAUGUUCUAACUCGGCCCCGUUAUCCGGGGUGAGGACAGUGUCUGGUGGGUAGUUUGACUGGGGCGGUCUCCUCCUAAAGAGUAACGGAGGAGCACGAAGGUUAGCUAAUCACGGUCGGACAUCGUGAGGUUAGUGCAAUGGCAUAAGCUAGCUUGACUGCGAGAGUGACGGCUCGAGCAGGUACGAAAGUAGGUCAUAGUGAUCCGGUGGUUCUGAAUGGAAGGGCCAUCGCUCAACGGAUAAAAGGUACUCCGGGGAUAACAGGCUGAUACCGCCCAAGAGUUCAUAUCGACGGCGGUGUUUGGCACCUCGAUGUCGGCUCAUCACAUCCUGGGGCUGAAGUAGGUCCCAAGGGUAUGGCUGUUCGCCAUUUAAAGUGGUACGCGAGCUGGGUUUAGAACGUCGUGAGACAGUUCGGUCCCUAUCUGCCGUGGGCGUUGGAAGAUUGAGAGGGGCUGCUCCUAGUACGAGAGGACCGGAGUGGACGCAUCACUGGUGUUCGGGUUGUCAUGCCAAUGGCAUUGCCCGGUAGCUAAAUGCGGAAAAGAUAAGCGCUGAAAGCAUCUAAGCGCGAAACUUGCCUCGAGAUGAGUCUUCCCUGUGGCUUUAAGCCACCUGAAGGGACGUUUAAGACUAAGACGUUGAUAGGCUGGGUGUGUAAGUGCAGCGAUGCAUUGAGCUAACCAGUACUAAUGACCCGAGAGGCUUAACCUUACAACACCGAAGGUGUUU
rnacentral:rRNA from 1 species